UGCACUCAUCCAGCCUUCCUCCACCAGUUGCAGUUGCUAUUUACAAUGAAGCGAGUUUCCCUUUCAAUACUUUUUCUUGCCCUUCUCUUGCUGUCCUCUACGGCUUUUGCACGUAUACCAUAUGAGAAUAAUAAAGAUAAGAAGGACGCAAGAGGCGAGGUUGUUAAAGAUUGCACAUACUGCGUUGCUAUUGGCCGGUGCUGCCCAUACUUUUGCUGCACCAAUCGAUGCUGCUCGAAGGAGGAGUACGACGAGUUCCUGAAAGGGACGAGUGUCCCUCACAACUGAGGAGGCUUCCUGGUUCGCCGGUGUUGACGCAUGUUGAUGAUAAUGGUAGCAGCGAAGGUGCUUGUCAAUAAUAAAGUAAGCGUGCAUGCUUAUUGUCCGCUAGCAAUCGAGCAUGCAUGCAGGGUAUGUGUGUCCUGGUUCUUGUUGAUUUUACAAGAACCUUAUGUGUACGCUUUAUGUCGCGUGGAAUGAAAUAAAUUAGUUAAGCUUCUGCCUAA